UCUCUCUCUCUCUCUCUCUCUCUCUCCCUCCCGGCCAUGAAAAUUGCAGUUAGGGUUUCAGCAAAGCUCACCGACCUUUAUUGCAAUGGCGGUAGUGGUAGUGGAUAUAGUUCGAAUGGCGCGGCGAACAAGUACUCGAAUGGAAGCGUGAGGGUGGUGGAGAGUGAGAAUGGGAGCUUGGUGAAGUAUGUGAAUGGGAAUGGGGCGGCUGAGAUUAGGUAAGAGCAGCAGGCUAGCUACGAGCGGUUUUAAGCCUUUGUAAUGUUUGCAGGUAGUCAUCCUCAUAUUACUUGCAAGAACGAGGGAUUCGAAAUCUUUGAAUGUGAGGAAGUUCUUAAACUUUCUUAUCAUAUUCCAAUAUUUUCCACGAAUUUUUCGUAUGUACCUAUCAUGCAAGGUCAAUAAGGAGGAGGCUGAUAGUAAAGCUCGUUAUGGUGACAGUGGACAUCGACUAUGGUUCAGGGUGUAUAAGUUCAUCCUUGCGAGUCAUGUAUGUUUUCAACUACUCUUUUGGUCAAAAUCUCGAGACCAAUACCUAUGCUUGGGAAAAUCUGUUUGCGCUUGGCAUCUCAGUAGUUGGAAUGAUUCUAUUUUUAAUAUAUCUCAAUGCAAUUCUGCAGUUCGCAAGUACAACGUCGGAAAGACACGAGAGAAACGCUAAGCAAGGAUGUGGAUUUGUGGCUAACUAGAGAAGGCCUGCCUAGCAAUUUGAAGGAAGUGAUCAUGAAUACCCAUAUUACUUUAUCACUCAAUUGGGCAUCAAA